rnacentral:rRNA from 1 species
AUUGAACGCUGGCGGCAGGCCUAACACAUGCAAGUCGAGCGCGAAAGUCUUCGGAUGAGUAGAGCGGCGGACGGGUGCGUAACGCGUAGGAAUCUACCUAGUAGUGGGGGACAACUCGGGGAAACUCGAGCUAAUACCGCAUACGCCCUAAGGGGGAAAGUGGGGGACCGUAAGGCCUCACGCUAUUAGAUGAGCCUGCGUAGGAUUAGCUAGUUGGUAGGGUAAAGGCCUACCAAGGAGACGAUCCUUAGCUGGUCUGAGAGGAUGAUCAGCCACACUGGAACGGAGACACGGUCCAGACUCCUACGGGAGGCAGCAGUGGGGAAUCUUGCACAAUGGGCGAAAGCCUGUUGCAGCCAUGCCGCGUGUGUGAAGAAGGCCUUCGGGUUGUAAAGCACUUUAAGUGGGGAGAAAAGGGUAGUCAUUAACACUGGCUAUCUGUGAUGUUACCCACAGAAUAAGCACCGGCAAACUUCGUGCCAGCCGCCGCCGUAA